rnacentral:rRNA from 1 species
AUUGAACGCUGGCGGCAGGCCUAACACAUGCAAGUCGAGCGGAUGAAGGGAGCUUGCUCCUGGAUUCAGCGGCGGACGGGUGAGUAAUGCCUAGGAAUCUGCCUGGUAGUGGGGGAUAACGCCCGGAAACGGGCGCUAAUACCGCAUACGUCCUGAGGGAGAAAGUGGGGGAUCUUCGGACCUCACGCUAUCAGAUGAGCCUAGGUCGGAUUAGCUAGUUGGUGGGGUAAAGGCCUACCAAGGCGACGAUCCGUAACUGGUCUGAGAGGAUGAUCAGACACACUGGAACUGAGACACGGUCCAGACUCCUACGGGAGGCAGCAGUGGGGAAUAUUGGACAAUGGGCGAAAGCCUGAUCCAGCCAUGCCGCGUGUGUGAAGAAGGUCUUCGGAUUGUAAAGCACUUUAAGUUGGGAGGAAGGGCAGUAAGUUAAUACCUUGCUGUUUUGACGUUACCAACAGAAUAAGCACCGGCUAACUUCGUG